UACGUAGGGUGCGAGCGUUAAUCGGAAUUACUGGGCGUAAAGCGUGCGCAGGCGGUGGCUCAAGCCAGGCGUGAAAUCCCCCGGGCUCAACCUGGGGAACUGCAUUUGUGACUGCAUCGCUGGAGUGCGGCAGAGGGGGAUGGAAUUCCGCGUGUAGCAGUGAAAUGCGUAGAUAUGCGGAGGAACACCGAUGGCGAAGGCAAUCCCCUGGGCCUGCACUGACGCUCAUGCACGAAAGCGUGGGGAGCAACAGG
rnacentral:rRNA from 1 species